rnacentral:rRNA from 1 species
ACGUAGGGAGCGAGCGUUGUCCGGAUUCAUUGGGCGUAAAGCGCACGUAGGCGGACUGAUAAGUCAGGGGUGAAAUCCCGGGGCUCAACCCCGGAACUGCCUUUGAUACUGUCAGUCUAGAGUUCGAGAGAGGUGAGUGGAAUUCCGAGUGUAGAGGUGAAAUUCGUAGAUAUUCGGAGGAACACCAGUGGCGAAGGCGGCUCACUGGCUCGAUACUGACGCUGAGGUGCGAAAGCGUGGGGAGCAAACAGGA